AAAAUAGAAGUUGAGAGACUAAUGAGAAUGAGAAGUUUAAAAAUAUUAAGGUAUAAAUGGGCAAAAUUGUACUUGUACUAUACAUAAAAAAAGGAAAGCUAGUCUUUAAAGACGUUUCUUAUGAAGGUCAAAAAUUCAAAAUCACCCACUUUUGGGGUCAUCCCAUGUAAUUUCGUCCUAUUACAGUAAUCGUCGGAUGGGCAGAGAUAGUGAUAGAGGUUAUGGGUUAUCUCUAUGCAUUCCGAAAAAAAAGUAUUCUAUGUUAAGUCCAGAUUAUAAUCAUAAAAAGCUAAAGAGUAAUUCAUAAGUUAGCUUAUAUACAUAGAAUUUUAGUAGCUUAAUUAAUUAACAACCUGAAUUUUCACCGUUUUAGUGAACGAUUUGAUUCCUCUAUCCUAUAAUCUCCUCCUUGUUUUUCAAAAAAAAAAAAAAACACAAAUAAAGUUGCUUGUAUAUAAGUUAUCUGUGAUACAACAUGUUCUAGAAUAGAAUUUUAAGAGUGUGUUGGGUUAUGAUUUUUUUUACUUUUUUUUUUAUUGAAGAUGAAAUCGAAAAACAUAUUUGACCAAAGAAUUUUAAAAUUUUUAAGAAUUUGAAAAGCACCAAAAAGCUGUUUCGCUCCAACUUACUCAUAAAUUUAAAAGAGUUUAAGUUUGGUGAACCGUUGGUGUAUCUUUUUUUAACACCAUCAGGUAAUUUUUACCAGCUGUAGUAGGUCAUUCAUUAUUAUAUUUUUUUUAAAAAAAUAUAAAAUUAAAAAAAGUGUUUUAUCUUUACCCUAUCUCUCUUUCUUCCCCCUACCUUGCUGCUUUACCGUUUCCCCCAUUUUUCUUUAUGUGAUUCUUUUAUCGCAUAAAUUUUUUAUUUUUCUUCAAUCUUUUCGAAUUAAAAAAUGGGAGAAUGGGGUGCGUAGACUGAGUACAUUUUCAAUUACACUGUAAGUGUCUUCUACACAUAUCUAUUAUUUUUCGGUCUCAAGUUUCAGGUAAAAAAGAUUUCUUUAAAGGAUUUCUUUUAUCUCUGCUUUCAAUUGUUUUCUCAUCUUAUGCAUUGCUUUAUUGAAGGAAAUAGAAAUUUCUAUAUACAAGAUAUUUAGUUUUCCUCAAUUUCUCUUUACCUUUUGUUUUGAUUAAAAAAAUUAUUGAAUCUGCUUGAAAUUUCUCCAUCAAUUUUAUCUAAUUUCCUAAAAUUGGUUGGCUAGGUCGUGUAUAAUCUGACUCAGAGACAAUAAUUGGCAUGAUGGUUCACUUAUGGAACUUGAGAAACUACAACCUCAACAACUCUAUCAGCCAACACAGCGACUUCAUUGGUGUACUCUAUCUUCUCUACUCCUCACCAACACUGCUAGACAUAUUCUGAUAAACACAAAUCCUGAAUUCAUCGGAAUCAUAAGAUAUGAAAGGAAAAAUUUCCAAUCCUGAAAUGGUUUUUAGAGAUAUUAAAACUGUUGAUUCCACUUUUGCUCAUGGUGUUGAAAGAAAUUGGGAAUUCUUUGAUUUUUACAACUGGAUGAAUACCUUGUGUACUACUUCGAUGAAUUAUACUUUAGAAAUUGUGCUUUCUUAUUUGUUUAACGACUGAUGUGAAUGAAAUUAUAUUAAACAAUUAACAACCUUUCAUUAAUUCCUCUUACCUGAUUGUCAUGAUCCGAGUCGGGGCCCUGGCGGUGACGGACAUCUCGAACUAUGAAGGUCCAAGAAUCCCUUAGCAUACUAUCAUAAGCAUAAUUCAUAUGAAAUAAAAGUGCGAAAGAUAAACUGAAAUAUGAAAGAGCUUUUAAUCAAAUGUAAAUACAUAAUGCCAUCAAUCCAUGAAACCCAAAUCCUGUCUAAACCAAUCUAUAAACCUCUACUAAAAACACUAGUCUGUCUAAGUUAGGACAAGCCCCCGACGGACCAUAAAACUGACUGAAACUAACAUAUGGAUAAAAUGCCUUUUGAAACAAAAGAGACUCACCAACUCUGAAUAUUUGAGAGUAAUCUACUGCUGAGCUGGGCCACGGGAUUGUGUCUCAGAACCUACAUUAUGAGACAAUGCAACCGCCACGAAGGACAGUCAAUACUUGAAAUAUAUUGAUAUACAAAACUAACCAAAACAAAAUAAUUUUAUAUAACAUAAUCGAGAGCAUUAUGAAAAUAGUUAAUCAUAAUCGAGGUCCAAACACAUGGUCAUAAUAAACAAGUUUCAACCUGGUGACGUCCAAGCUACACCUCCACUCUGAAUAUGAUAUGGUCGUUGUCAAAUAUAGUAACUCAACAGAGGUUGGGGUCGAAUCCCAAAAAAAUACGUGUAAUCUUGGCUCACAACUGUUGUAAUCAACGGGCAAAACUGAAAAAGUAAAUGGGAGGGGGGAGAGAGGUUGAGUAGCAAUAUCGAACAAGUGACAGAUAUCAACUUCGGUUGUAAUUGAUCGUAGGUGAACACUAAGAUUGUGUUCCUCCAGACUUCUCAAAUCAGUAGGCUUAUCAUUAUUUAUUGAACCAAUCCAAUACCUUGCAUGCAAAAUUGUUAAGUUAUGUACCUUCUAUAGUCUUUUGGACGAGCAGAAGGAUUUCACCCUUUACCUUUUGAAUCUCAGGAUGUCGCCUUACUAACCCCUAUCUUGAUCCCACUAAACUAUUACCUUUUGAGUCUCUAGUUAUUAGAUGAAAUCUAACCAUUUUACUUAGAUAAUACCUAGUAGCAUGGAUCGACAAUUAAACUCCAAAUUACUGUUGUCAUUAUCUUUUCCUAGCAACUACUCCUCUUUUGGAGUAACUAGCAAUAUAGGCUGUAUCCUAAUAUGUACACCCGUUAAGAAAACUAUUAAAGCAAAGAUAAUACAAUGCAUGCAUGGAUGUUAGUUCAGAACAAUAAUUGCACUUCCCCUACUUCGUCAAUCUGCAAAGGUUUUCAUAACCAUAGCUAAGGGUUUUUAUCCGCUCAUGCUUGUGAAGUAAUCAGUAACAUUCAUGAUUAAAAUCAUUAGAUGAAAUCACAAUAACCAUAAGUAAAAACCCAAAACCGUAACAGAAAUAAUCAAUCAAAAUCAAUACAAGAGAAUUCCAAGACCAAAAUCGAAUCUCAAAAUCAAAAUAUAUUUGUAAGUAUUAAGAGUGCGUAACCUCUACUAAAAAAUACAUAAGAGGUAUUUAUAGGACAUGAGGAACCCUAAAACUAAAUCCCGAAUGAAAUAGGAGAAAAAAGGGUCGGCAACUACUUAUGGUCCUUACAUGCGCCCUAGCCUCGCAUCCAUAUGGUAUAUGCUGCGCAUGUAGUGACCGCAUGUUCCUGGACCAAAAAAUCCUACAAGUUAGCUCUCAGGAUUUUGCACUUCUUACACAUGCUUUAACCAUAAGUAGUCCAUAUGUGCUACAUGUGAUCCGCAUGUUGACUUAGAAUGUGCCAGAAGUUAAUUUUUUAGCUCUUCUUCAAUUAUCGCACAUGCUUUGAUCACGAUCAAUUCGAAAAGUGUCUCAAACAUCCAUAAUUGCUCCCAUAAGUAUCCAAAACACCUUUUUCAUCCUUUUCACAAACUUAGCAUCCAAAAUAUAAUUUUGUGCAAAACAUACCCAAAAUGAAUCAUAUCUAACAAAAUAACCUAAAAAAACUUGCAUAUUUUCAUAGUUUUAAGCAUCGAAAGUGCUAUAUUUCUAUAGCACAUCAACACCCUCAACUUAGAAUGUUUGCAUGUCCUUAGGAAACAAAAAACAACAAAAUAAAACACGAUCGACGCUUAGUUAGGAGAAUCUAAACUAUUCAAGAUAGUCAAUCAACACUUUUAGCUCAAAUCACAACACCCCCUCCUAUCUUACUUUUCAAAACCAACUGUGUAUAAUUAUAAAGCACAACAAUGUGACAAAAUCGGAUCAAGUAUGACAUUACAUUAUCAAUAGAAAACCAUGCAUAUGCACAAGUUACACUACCCAAAACAAGCAAGAAACUAGCAACAUAACUCAUCUGCCCUCAAAACAAAGAUAUCCCACUCACUCAUAUGAAAUAAUGUAUGUCAAUGAAGGGAUAGUCAAGAGGAAACUCACACUCAGAAGAGAAUCUUCAAUUAAUGUGCAUCAAAUACCGUAGGCUUGCCCUUAUUUUAUUUACUUUAGCAUUCAGACAGUCAAGUUAGGAUCACUAUAAGAAUUUUCUCGACUUGUAAUGUAGGCUUGGGGAAAGGUAUGGUACAUAUGGACAUAUCAAGUGACUAAGCCUCCUUGGCAGUACACUAACCUUGGGGUCUCACUUAUUAGACAAUUUUUUUAUUCCACCCUUAUUUUUUCCUUUUUAUUAUUUUAUUGCACAUACAAGUUGGGUGUGGUCUUUUAUUCUUUCCUUUUCAUUUUUUUACAAAUUUUUCUUUUCUUUUUCUUUUUCUUUUUCAGCUUUUUCUACCAUACCCAGCCCUACUUUCUUUUUCUUUUAUUUUUUCCUUCUUCAUACCCACUUUACAUCACGCGCCCCUAUGAUAACCACCCUUAACUUAGGCAUUUUGCCUGAGUUGAGGUGCACAAUGUCCAAGGAAGACUAGGGAAAAAAUAGGUUCAUUUUAAUAAAAAUGAAAAGGUGAAAGAUGAAAAUAAAAAAAAUAGGUUACAAGGCUCAAAAUAGGGAUCAAGGGAUACUAUUUUACAUAGUAAAGGUCAUUUAGGAUAAAAGUGGACUAAAAUCACAAACGGCCUAUGAUCCUUUCCUAACCGAAUAUCCUUCAACCUAGGUAAGACUAACCAGAAAAGUUCUGAAUUCAACACAUAAAGCGAACUAAGUAGCAUCUCACACACACGGGGCAUCUAGUCAAUAUCACAAGCUACUACUCAUAUGGUUCAUACAAUUGUUAGAAAGUGAUUAUUAUAUCCUUAAUCCUAAUGUCAUAACAAGAUCCACAAUAUUCACACAUAUAUAGAUUCACAUAGUUCUAAAGUGUGAGACCCUCCUUUUCUUUUCCUUCCUUGUGCGAACGACUAGACUCAAUUUUCUAAAACCAGUAAAGAUAUUUGCAAUUCUCUUCUCAAUGUCGUGCCAGCUGAGGGAAUAGUUUACAGGCAAGAAAUACAAGUAUAAUAAUUUCAUCCAAGAGUCCGGAAGUUUCUAGUGCUUUAUUCUUAUCGGUUAGCUGCCAGUUCUAUUCCUACCAAAUCCUUAUUUCCUUUUAGCAGUAACGGGGAAUUAUGAACUGUGACUGAUUCACCUAAGGCCAUAGCUAAUCUGAUCCACAAUGACUACACGAGAUGAACCUUAGUUUGGUGAAUUGAAGUUGGCCUUAGGUGUAAUAGGACUCCCAGUUACUGCGCGCGAUUGUAUACUGAGGUGCUCCCCGCCGGUUGUUGGAAUGACGCGAGCCGGGCCGGUUCUCGAUUCAAAAAGAUGAAGGGCCCAAAAGUCUGAAAAUAGCUAACCCAAUAGCAGAUUCCGCAGUUGCCACCGUUGGAACCAAUGAAGCAAAUGAUUGACCCAUCAUAUCAUCCGAAGAAAUAGAAAAUACCAAAAAGUUCGAAUUCACAGCUAAUAACAUUGAUUCAAUUGGCAUUGACAUAAUAGGAAUAUUUCGUCUAUUAAGGAGGAUUCCCCGAAUACCUGAAAUAGAGAUAAUCAUAGAAAAUGUGAAAUAUUUGAUAGGAUCCAUUUCGGGAACGUAGAAUGGUUGAGAAAUUCAAAUGUGAAACAAUACGUCAGCUCUUCUACUUUCAAUAUCCUUCAAUUAUGGAUAUGGAAGAAAUCUUCUUUUUUAUACUCAUGUUUCCCCUCCCAUCGCGCUCCGCCGAUUGUUGUGCUCGUGUCAACCAAGCCU
rnacentral:lncRNA from 1 species